rnacentral:lncRNA from 1 species
AGUCACUCAUCAAGAAAAAAUGAAUUGGGCAGAGUGACUCACCAGCCCAGAAGGAGAAGAAGGUUACAACUUGCAGUAGUGACAUGUUGUCUGCCAGCUGUGUACUCAAGAAGUGGGGACCUGGUGUCUGGAUGUCUCAGGUCAGUGACAGGAGGGUGUGACCUGAACUUGGGUGAGGAAAGGAAUUAGUGGGUUGGGUGAUUCUUGGGCCCUUCAGUACUGGCUUCAGACUGAACAUUGUGCCCAGCAGGCUUGCCCUGUACAUAUUGAAAUAGGGCUGAUGGUCAUAGGGCUCUUUGCAUGAAUGUGAGAACAGGAAGGUGCCCUAGCUUCAAGGGAAGUGCCCAGGAGAUAUUUUAUGAACUCCUUUUCUCUACAUCCCAUUUUUGCAUAUUACAUAUUUAAUAAAUAUUAAUUUUAAUUGUAUCAAAUAUUCAAUAAACAUUUAUUUAGCUUUAAAAAAAUGUUCUCCACCUUUAUAGCCACCACAAUAAUCAGUAUAGACACUUGUAGUUGCAUUAUAUAGAUGAGGAUACAGACUGCUGAAUGGACUUCACAAACUCACAUAGUUGAAAAGCAGAGCAUGCUGGCAAAUAUACUCAUGAAGAAACUCAGAGAAACAAAAUGAAGAUAAAAAUGACAACAUCCAUGAUCAGAUCAUGAAGGACAACAGCUAUAAUCAUUAUGGUUUUUUAAUUUCCAGAUUUUUUUAUUUGCAGAUACAUUGAUAGGAAUAUGUUUCCAUGAACUACAAAUAUAUUUAUAUGUACAGAAUUUUGAUUUCUUUAUUCAGUUCAUCAAGUAUUCUGAAAAACUUCCCAUAGCACUGAGGCAUUUUUUGAUGUCUACAACUAUUAAUGGUCUAUGUUUAUCAUUUAGGACCUGUCUGUCUUGUGAAAAUUUCCUCAUCCCUUUAAGCCUCACAUACUUCCUCUGAAAAUGGCUGCAAUAAUUAUACAUAUAUCGAAAUUUUAUGCAAAUUUAAUAAAGCAUAUUGAUGGUUUCUGAGAUAUAGUAAAUUUCUAUUGUUUAUAAUUAUCACUAUUACAUUUUAAAAUUUAACCUCCUCUUCCUUUCAACCAUUUCAUUUUCUCUCAGCUUUCACCUGUUGAAAAUUUUGGUGAUUAAUUUGAAGUUGUAACCUGGGUAAAUCAAGGAAAAUCACUAAAUAUCGUUAACAUAUUUUUCCACUUUGGGGAGCUUCUCUUUACUCUGUUCUUUCCUAAACCAACUUCAUCAUGGUUUCCAUAUGGUUUCCUACAUAAUCUAAGUGCAUCAGGGCUCCUGUAGCCCCAGACAGUGAUCAUAAGUGACACUGUGUCACCCCUGUCAGGUCCCACAUUCAGCAGGUAUGAAUACAGGUCCCACAGCUCCUACAGAGGAGAAAGGAGAACCCCUCUGGCUCAGAUAGCUGCAUCUUCCUUCUGAGGCCCUGUUUUCCCUCUUUUCCAAUAAAUAUCAUUUCUGAGGUGCUCAACACUGGAAGCCCUAGGCCAGAAGUCCCAUGGGGUACCAUUAGAAGGGCUGGCUGAACAUUCACACAGGUAUUUGUCUCCAGUAGAGAAAGUAGAAAAGAAGUGGAGGCUGUUGCCUGAGUCAGUCUGUGGGCCCUGGGUGCUGUUAAGACUUGGGCUGCCCUUGCCACCCUGGAACCCACUAGGAGUCGGGUAUCAUCCUUUUAGUCAUCUUUCUGCUACUCACUGUCCUCAGCAGCAUCCAGCACUUUGCUCUGUGUCAUCUGGGAUUUGGACUCCCCCUCUGAAUCUGCUGGUGCACUAACAGACCUGAACUCAUCACUGUUGACUCCACACCAAGCCCUUGGGGUGCAAAGCUUCCCCCUGCAGCUUGUCAUCCAAAUCUUAUUCAAUAUGUUCCCUGACACUCUCAGUACCUCUGUAACCUAUUAGAAACCCUGAAAGGCAUUUAGAUCUCCUCUAUAAACACUUGUGCAGAAAAUAGUGCUGGGUUGGGCUCAUAUUUGUUUAUACCUGCCUCUGUUGGUGAAGUUCUACCCUGGCAGUAUUGGAGGAGCUCAACAUCAUCUGAAACUCUCAGAUUCUCCCCAGGUCUAUCUUGAGUUCUGUUAGUGUUUCUACCUCUUCUGGGCUAGGACACUCAGGUUAUGCGGAACAGGAAUGGCCUUCACACAAUUCUUUGCCUCUCUUAACUCUUCCUAUAAUCUCACAGAAAUUCCCAGCAGGAAAUGCCACCCUUUCCUCUGGGUGAAUGCUGAUUUCAUACCCUGAGUUUUCCUUAUAUAAUACCUCUUAUAAAAUUCUCAUCUUAGUUUCCAAGCUUGUCUUCUGACUUAUAAAUGCAGAUUCAUCAUUAGAAGAUAGCAUUUGCUUUGGGCUGAGGAUGUGGCUCAAGCGGUAGCGCACUCGGCUGGCAUGCUUGGGGUCCUGGGUUUGAUCCUCAGCACCACAUAAAAAUAAAAUAAAGACGUUGUGUCCACCGAAAACUAAAAAAUAAAUAUUAAAAAAUUCUCUCUCUUUCUCAAAAAAAAAAAAAAAAGAAAGAAAAUAGCAUUUGCUUUAAACUUAUCUGGUCUUGAAGCCUACUCUCUUACAAUAAACUCAAAAGUAAGUUUGUUUUAGUCACAUCUACAAUCUCCUUCCAUGGGUUUUAAAUCUCAGGGUUUAGCUGGGGAUGUGGCUCAGUGAUGGAGCAUAUUUGCCUGGCAUAUGUGAGGCCCGGGGUUCAUUCUCCAGCACAAUCAAUCAAUCAAUCAAUCAUUAUCUCAUUGUUCAGUUUUAAUAAAGAAAGUGCAAUAGGAGACAAAAUGUAAAGGAGAGAAUGAAAAUAUGGUCAAUAUCUAUUUCUAAGACUUGAUCCUCAUUACUCAUUUUGAUCACUUGCUUGAGUCCUGGCUUUGUGGUUUUAAUAUUUCUCCAUGUAGCCCACCCAUGACAUUUUAUGCUAAACCAAAUUCAUGAACUUAACUGAUAAGAUAAGUGGCUUUCAUAGUCUUUUCCUCUCUGGCAUGGAAAAGGGUCUUGGGGCAGAAUAUUCAGGACUGGAUCUCUUCCUGAUGUGUGCCCAAAGUGAAACUCAGCCAUGAUUUCCUGGGCAACUACUCCGUCUGUCCUAGCUGGGCUGGGCUUGGGUAGGCAGUAAAUCUGGACAAGUCACAUUUACUCUUAAACUCCACAGUAUGUUCUUGUGAUGUUAGUAACCUAUGAAGAUAUUUGAAAUGGCCCAAUUGUGCAAACUGAAACACAGUGACCACCUCUAAUUAGUAGUUAUUUUUUCUAGGAAUAAUUCUAUUUUCAGGGGAUUUAUGAUGAUUCCCUGAGAUUCGGAACACAUUUAAAACAUCUAACACACACUAUGAGGCACCAAUGGGAGCGCUGUUCCUUCCCAGCACUUUUAUCCUGAGUUUUUCAUCAUUACUAGAAAUCUCAGGGAAAUGGAUUAGUGGUAUUUGCCUUCUCUCUGAGAUGGUCAGGCAGUUUCAACAUACUCAUUGUCUACAUAUGAAACCAACUCAGCAGGCAAUUAUGCAAAACCAGACAUUAGGGGCACAGUUACCAGCAUCUGAGGGUGCAGUUGAUAGUCAUCAGACUCUCUUUCCUGUUUCCUCUAUAGGAAGGCCUCAACCUAAGGAGGACAGGAAGUGCUGCAGGCUGGGGCUGAGGCCUAGCAGGGCUCAGGGCUGAAGGAGGCAGCUCCAUGUUGGGGAGCAGGUAGUCACAGACAUAUUGAGGGGUGGGUAUGCUCAUUAUUUUAGCUCUAAUGACAUAGUUUCAGAGGCUAUAAUAUUAGGUCAUAAUGUCUUACUUUUCUGUGAAUUUUAUUUUGAAUACCAAAAGGAAGCAGACAGAAUAUAUACUUCAUGAAUGGAAUUAUUUGCUUAUAACCGACCUUAAAUAAAAAUUUCUUUUCUCCCCAAGUAAAUAUCAAAUCCUCAAAAACACUGUUUGGAGUUUGUCAGUACCAAAAUGUGUAUGAAAAAUUAUGCCUGGAUAACAGGCAGUGAAAUAUAUGCUUCCUUUCUGUUACUGAAAUAAUAUUUUCACUUGUUUUCAUUGUAUUUAUUCAAUUUCAACAAUAAUAUUUCCAACAAAACAAAAAUUAUCAAGAGAAAAGCAUUCAUUUUAUGAAUAUCCAUUAAUCAAUCUGAGAAAUAGGAAAAAAAUCAUAUUUCUGGAGCGACAAGCAGAUGAACGUUGUAGCUAUAACAUCUUGCCUUUUACACUGUGUGCCAAAGGAUAAGACUGAGGAGGUGGGAUACUGAAGCAAAGUAGUCGACAUACCAGGAUGUAGGGGAAGGAGUCCUAGAGUGUAAGAAGUGAAAAUAGGUAUCUCAGACCCCUCCGCCCAGAUCCAUUCUUUCUAUAAGACUUUUCUAUAGGACACCAAAAUAAUCAGUCCAUUUACAUUCUAGGUUUUAGGGUGCUUUCUUUUUAUAAUUGAUGUUUUAUCAACAUUAUUUAAUGGAUAUCAGGGAAAAGUUGGAUUAAGUUAAAAAGUCUGCCAUGACCUGAAGGCACCUGUGGACUUCUCCAGGUGAGGCCAUCACUGGUCAUUGUGUACACCAAACCCUCACAACAAAGGUCAAACCCACCCAUGACUCUCACAUAGGGUUCUGCUCUGGACUCACAUUGGCUCCAGCAUCUGGUGAAUCCUUUUUGGUGUGAAUGUGGGAAGCACUUAUUCCCUCCUUCCUCCCUGGGAGGGGAGGACGUUGCCAUGGCACUCCCAACAGGGCUUUUUAGAGAAAGUUUACACAGAUAUUGUCCCCCCAAAUUCUCUAAGCUCCUCUUACAUUCAGUAUUGACAUAGCUCAUGAGCCAAUGGUUGGGGUCAACAAUGUUUUUUCCAUCACUUAGCAUGUCCUUGGGAAAUGUAUUUAGUCCAGGUUUUCUCAACCUCUGCAUUGUUGACAUUUAAGGCCAUAUAGUCUUUGGUCAUGGUAGAAGAGAGGGAAGCAGUCUUAUGAACUGUAGGAUAUUUAGUAGCAUCUGUGGCCUCUACCAGCCACAUACCAGUAGUGUUCCCCCCACACUUCUGUGACUACCAAAAAUAUCCUCAGACAUUGCCAAUGCACCCUGGAGAGGGGAUUGCCCUCAGGUGAAAACUAGUGCUGUUUUAAGAAACACAUAAAACUGAUUAUUAUUAUUUUUUAAUUUAGCUCUCAGCCAAGAUGUGAGCAAAAUGAAAUUUCCACUAAAUUCCAAUAUGAAAAAAAUCUCAUGUUAUUAGCUCAUGAGCAAAAUCAUUUACUCUUAUUUGUACAAUGUCUUUUAUUGAGGAAUAGGAGUGGACAUAAUGAUAAUUCUAUCACUUAGCAGAUAGCACUGCUGCCUUGCUUCACCAAUUGUUGCCUGUUACUUUCAUAUACUUGAUAAUAAAUUCCUUUUUUUGACAUCAGCCUAUGAUUUUUAGUGAUUAUUAAAUCUUUUUCAUAAGUAAACCACAAUACCUUCCAUAUAGUGAGAGCUCCAUAAAUAUUGUCUAUCAUUUAGAGAUAAUUUUUCUAGAGAUCUAAUUGGAAUGAGUGAAAAAUGUUAAAAUAAAACCACAAUCCUUUACUUUUAUGUGGUGGUUAAAAUUUCCAAAAGAUGUCUAUGGUCAUUGGCUUAUUCUACCCAAUCAAUGAUAUUUUAAAUCCAGAGAGAGAGUCCCAGAGGGAAUAAGCUAGUAAAUGGUAGAGCUGGAAACUCUAUUCCAUUUCUGCACACCAAGUCAACUUGGUGGACCACAAAAGGGAGCAUGAAACUAUCCACUCCAGCUUCUCUUUCCAAUUCUGCCUGUUACUAGCUUAACUUGGUUCUGUCUGACACUCAGUGACCUCAACUAUGAAAGUGAAAUAAGCACAUCUGUCCCUCAGCAUCAUUUUAAGAAAGGAACUGGGCACAGAACAGAGCAUAACACUGAAGCUCAGUGGAUUCUGUAUCCUUUCCAUUCUUCCUCCUCCCUCUUCUGCCUCCUUGUUGAAGCAGGAUCAGCACAGAGCUACUGUUGUGACUACCAUUUGGGAUUGGGACCCUUAUCUUUAUAUAAUCUUAGUUCCUUGACUUAAAUCACAUCAAUAGCCCCUCCAGAGGGAAGAGGCACUGUGGGGUACUCAGCUUUGCUCUCCUGGUAGAUGCCCUGGGGGAUGGAGCCUCAUGGUCAAGAUCCUGAGCAGCCACCUCCCCUUCUUUCUUCAGAGACACCCCUAUAGCCCACCUCUUUCCAGAGAUGGUCAAGGAUGGGAAUGACUGUAAUGUCCUAUUUGUUCUGUGGCUGAGAAAAAUAAUUAAUACAAAGAUAUGAUUAAAAAUAAUAAAGAUCUACAAUAUUUGAAAUUUGAGGAAGUUUUUUUUUUCCAAGACAGGUUCUUUCAUCAUGUGAAAUAAUUUGAUGGAAAAACCACUGAAUGCAUUCUUCUUACUAUUUCUACUGGGUUGUGUGAUAAAAGUGGAUGUUUAUUUCUUUUAUUUGGCAGUACCUUUAUUGGAAUCUCUGGCGCCAUGAAGCCUACCCUAUGACCCAUUCAUUUCUGCUUUCUCAGGAAACUUGGAUCAUAAUGAAAUCAAGGAAUCAUUAGUUUAUUUUUUUUCCUCCUUUGAGGUACAGAGUGAUAACAGAGUUCUAUUCCUGGCAUUACUUACCCAAACAUUCAAGCCAUUUGAUUGCUUAAUUAUUUGUGAAUAGUAAAUCUCUCAACUUCAACACUUUUCAUUAACCAGUCAAAUUUCCUACUUGGGUACAUUUUUGUAGGAAUGCAAUCUGCAGUCUGACCUUCACGAACAGAAAAGUCUAAUCUUAGUUCUCUUCUUUGCACUGGAUUCCAGGUCUUGCUGGUUCAGUGUAGUGUGAUGGGAAUGGCAAGUUUUAAUGAUGGUUAUACAUGGCUCUAAAUCUCUUCCCUGCUGCUGGCAAUGUCUGCAGGAUCUUGGAUGCUGCAAACUCUAUGUUUUCACCACACCCCUCAUCUAUUAGAGGUGGACAAUAAUAUCUAAGUCAGAAAAACUAUGUAAAGCUCAGGAUCUGACAUCUGCUUGGUCCUAAGCCCCUGCCAGUCCCUCCCUGGAUAGUUGUACAGGAAGCAGAAUGGAAUGUGACCUUCUCAGGGAAGACUGUGGUUUUGUCUAGUUCGAACUUUAUUUCCCAUCCAUGUUGGAAAAUAUUUCUGUGCUUCCUAGCAGGUUAACUGUGGGAAUUGCAGUGUCAAAGCUUAUAAAGGUUCAUAUCUUUGUGUUCCAUCUUGACAAACUUCUGAUGCUCAAUAAACAGUUUUUUGUUGUGCCCUUUUUCCUUGUUUAAAUAUAGAUCAUUAGAACUUCAAUGUGAGAAAAAAAAUGAUUGCAUAAUAAAUUUAUCUGCAGAUUGUUUCUAAGUAAACAUUGUAUUUAAACAGUUUAAAUGCUUUAAUGUAGCCCUGGAGAAUGGAGCUUAAGAACACAGUUCAAGAAAGAAAUCAUAAUGUGAGUGGAAAAAUUCUUUGAUUUCUCCCAAAAUGUCUCCAUUCAAAAGUACUUUUUUUGCAAAUCACUCUGCAAUCCAUGCAGUAGAGUGUGAAUCAGACAGAACUGGGCUUAAAUACCAGCUAUCAAGUCACUUACUUGAUUAAAGUAUCAAAUUUAUAACUGUAAGAUAUUAAUAAUAUUGAGAUAAUAACAAUAGAAAGCUUUUAUUUUUAUAAAAGUUUUUUUAUUUGUGUCGUAGUGUUGUGGGGCAGGUCAUUCAGAAAACACACCAAGUCCCAGUUUUGUCCAAAUCAAAGAGCUGGCCAGCCAGCGACUGCUUUUCAUAACUGUCGCUUCAAGGAGACUGAGCAUUUUAGAAUAUUUAAAGGCAAAAAAACCACACCUGGGUUGACAUAACUGCAAACAAGCAGAUACAGAGACAAUUGGACAGUUAGUGAGACAAUGCGAUGGGGACAUUGGUGUUUCCCAUGGGACUUUCCAGGGUGGUAUAGCAGCAAGUAAGCAGAAGGGAAGUGGUCAAAAUGACCCCAGUUCAGUACAAGUGAGAGAAUGGUUACUAAUGUCUAAACAAUCAAUCUCUGACAAGGUACAUUGCCCAAGAAAAAUGGAAACCAAAGAGAAUAAUUUUACAUUGUGUAAGAAUUGCUAUUUUGUGUUGCCCAGUAUGUUAUGCUAGGUAACUAUUAAUGGGUACAGAGGUGGGGCUUUCCCGGAGAAGCGUUUCUUACAUAAUAUGAAGUUUCAGGGUAAAAUGGAGUCUGUUUGGUCAUUGUCUAUAUAGCCUGGCCCAUAACAGUAGAAUAUGUUUAUGCACUUUGAUAUGUCAUACAUAGAUGGCAUAUAAUUUCUCAUUUUUCAGUGUACACAUUGUAGAAUUAUAUUGUUCAUGCAGUCUCAUAUAUACAUAAAGAAAUAAUGUCUGUUUCAUUCUACUAUCCUUCCUAUCCCCAUAUGCCCUGAACUCCCCUCCCUUUACUUCUCUCCACCUAUCUAACGCUAUUCUUCUCUACUGCCUCCCUCCUUAUUGUGAAUUAGCAUCCGCAUAUUAGAGAAAACAUUCAGCCUUUGGUUUUUGGGGAUUGGCAUAUUUUGUUUAGCAUGGUAUUCUCCAACUCUAUCCAUUUAUUGGAAAAUGCCAUAAUUGCAUUCUUCUUUAGAGCUGAGUCAUAGUCCAUUGAAUAUAUACAAUAUUUCUUUAUCCAUUCAUCUAUUGAAGGACACUUAGGUUGGUUCCAUACUUUGCUUAUUUUGAAUUGAGCUGCUAUAAACAUUAGAAUUAAGUAUAUAAAUUGCUUCCUAUUGUGCCUAGCACGUAAGUGCUAUUAUUAUUAUAAUCUUAUCAGAACUUUUAUUAAAAUUUUUAUUUUCCUAUAGAACUAAGGUCCUUGAGAAAAUACUCUGUUUAUUCAAUCCUGUGCACAUAAACUGGCUAACUUAUAGGUGUUCUUUGUUAUUGUUGUUUUGUUAUGCCAUUGUCUUUUUGGUUUAGUUGAUUUGUUUUUAGUAUUUUUUUUUACUAAGCAAAGAAAAUAAGAGCCCAAUCUAGACUACAAAUUUUCUAUACAUAAGUAUAAAUUUUGGUAAUUAUUCUGCAAUUUUAUGUGAACAAAAUAAAGGCAACAGGACCACAGUAGAAUACUAAUGAUUAGCAUUUAAUUAAAAUACUGAAAAUGUGACUUAGAAGUGCCAAGAAAGUGGAUUAAAUCCACAGAAGAGACAGAUCCAUUUUAGCAAUAGUAGAAUUGGAUUUUAGAUGAAUGCAUCAGGCACUCCUCUCCCUCAACAGGUAAGUAAAAUUUGGAUUGUUUUGCCACCCUGCCCUUAUCUAUGGUUUUAAAGAACAUCAAGCUCAGUGAUAGAGCACUCACCCAACAUUGGUAAUGUCCUGAAUUUAGUCCCAAGCACUGCAAACAAAUAAACACAAUAUAUUAAGUGCAUGGAAUUGGAUUUAUCAUAAUAUUGGUUCACAAAGCACAGUAAACAUUCAUCUAAAUAUAGAUCUCUUGUAUUAUUGAUCUUAUUCUACCUAUGUGUCAGAGAUUUACUUAACAAAUCCACAAAUAUCUGAGAUAAGAAUCCAUCACAUAACACAAGAAUAAUUACAUUACAAGUGUUCUACAUGAUCCUCUCUAUUUUGAUAGGCGAUUGAGCCACUGCAGCCUGAUCUCCUCACCUGUAAACAAAGGUCUUGCAAUUACCACAUAUUUUUUAAAAAUAAAAAAUAAAUGUUUGCUAUUAGACAGUUUAGAGACUAUGAAAAAUAAAAGAAAAAAAUUCAUGAAAUUCUCAAAAGAAGAGAAUUUAAUGAUACUCCCUCAAGACUUGCGGAGGUUCCUGUGUAUCACUCAAGGAACGGCCACACAUCCUGUUAUGUUAGAGGUGAGAUCGUGGUGGCUUUGUGGAAAGUGAAGUGAACGCUGUUGGAUAAAUUUGUCUUCCUGCUUUCAGAGUGCUGUGCUCACUGGGGGAUAAGCCUCACCUACUUCUUUGGCAUCUGCUUUGUGUCUUCUCUGCUCCUCCAGAUCCACUCUCCACCUCUCUCCACCCUCCCCACUCCUUAAGGGUCAGACCCAUGGGCUGCAUUAAUAGUUCCUUGUUGUCUGAGUGAUCUUAGGGACCAGCCAAAGGAAGCACCAGUAGAGGACUAGGAAGAGGGAGAGGGGUGAAGCCAGGGUUCCCUCCCUGACAAGUGGCCUUGAGUUGAUUGCAUCUUCCCCAGUGGCCAAGAUAUAGUGGCAUUCACCCCAUGGCCAGAAGCUUCAUGUCCAGGAUCCAAGAGGUGGAGCUAGGAAAGCCCAUUCUCUUCCACAUCAGUUAGCCAACUUGAGGAGUCUGUGGAUUUUUCCACUGGCACCUGAAUCCACAGGCUUGAAAUCCCAGGUCCCAAGGAGAUGCACAAGCCCACUAAGCUACUCUGAGCACCCAAAGUGUCAGCAUUGUCUCUAACUUGUCAGAUUCUAUCAGUAGGAAUGAGGAGAAAAGGCAUAGUUUAUUUAUUAAAAGAAGGGUCUGUUUUUAAAAAAGAAGAAAAAUUAGUGGCCAAGCAGAGCCCAUCCUAGGCUUUUAGGUGUUCUCUAAGUGCUAAGUAAUAUGUAGAGAGAGUUUCAUCAUGAAGCAUAUGAAUUCUUUUAAAAAGUAAAUUUUAAAAUAAUAUUUUUAAGAGAUAAAUGUGGAUGCUAAUUCACAAUGGGAGAGGCUAAGGAAGAAUAGAGUUACUUUAGAUUAGGUAGAGAGGAGUGAAGGGAGUCCAGGGGGUAUGGAGGUAGGAAGGAUAGUAGAAUGAAUCAGACAUUAUCACCCUAUGUACAUAUAUAACUAUAUGACCAGUGUGAUUCUACAUCAUGUACAACCAAAAGAAUGAGAAAUUUUGAUGUGAUGUAUCAAACUGCAUUCUACUGCCAUGUAUAGCUAGUUAAAACAAGUUUUAAAAAAUUUAAAAAUAAAAAAAUAAAUGUUUGCUGUUAGUUUAGAGACUACAAAAAUGAAAGAAAAAAUAAUCAUGUGUUCAUAAGGUCAGCAUCUAGAGAUGUCCACUCCCAAGUCUCUGCCAGUAUCUGUACCCCAGGUUGCCUCUAGGUAGCCCAUUCAUAGGACUACAAAAAGAGCACUCAAGACAAGUAUCAAACAUGGUUUUCCAACGGCGUCUAGCAAUUUCUAGAAUUAUGACUUUCAUAGAAGAUUCCUACGUAAUAAAUAUCACUUUUACCACAUGACCAGUUUUAAUGAAAAAUAUAAGAUAAUUACAAGACCUUUGUUUACAGGUGAGGAGAUAAGGCUGCAGUGGCUCAAUAGCCUAUGCAUCACCACACAGCCCAAAAUGAGGUAGCCCAAGUAAGCCCUGAGCAUCUCUGUGAGAGGCCUACCACCUGACCACUUUCUCCUCCAUAUUCAUGGGAAGAUCAAUAUAAAGGCUAUUGGAAAAGAUAAGAACCAGAAUUAUUCUUACCUCAACCCUUUUAUCAGCAAAAAUAUAGAAUUUUUUUUCUGUUUAUAUAUUUAAGACCAUAUUUCAAGAAAGUGUUUUAUAAACACAUUCAAACAAUCAUGAACUGAGCUAGAUGUAACCACAAUUUAUGGAGAUUUACAACCAUGAGAUGCCUUUUAAGUUGAGCUCUGUCAUUGCAGUGGCAAACUGCAACCUGGAAGCAGAAAGUGACUUAACAAGAGCAACCUCCACCCUUGACAGAGCAAAUAAACCUUGUAAUUUCUGCUGUGCAUAAUGCCUGGCCCAGAGUAGUCUAUUAAAAAUGAUUGUCAGUAAUAGUCCAUUGUGCAUAUAUACCACAGUUUCUUUGUCCAUUCAUCUAUUGAAGGGCAUCUAGGUUGCUUCCACAGUUUAGCUAUUGUGAAUUGAGGUACUAUAAACAUUGAUGUGGCUUUGUCCCUGUAGUAUGCUGAUUUUAAAUCCUUUGGGUAUAGGCCAAGGAGUGGGAUAGCUGGAUCAAAUGGUGGUUCCAUUCCAAGUUUUCUUUUUUUUUUAAUUUUUAUUGUUGGUUGUUCAAAACAUCACAUAGUUCUUGACAUAUCAUAUUUCACACUUUGAUUCAAGUGGGUUAUGAACUCCCAUUUUUACCCUGUAUACAGAUCGCAGAAUCACAUCGGUUACACAUCCACUGAUUUACAUAUUGCCAUACUAGUGUCUGUUGUAUUCUGCUGCCUUUCCUAAUCCUCUACUAUCCCCCCUCCCCUCCCCUCCCCUCUCUAUACNAAUAGCUGGGUCAAAUAGUGGUUCCAUUCCCAGCUUUCCAAGAAAUCUCCAUACUGCUUUCCAAAUUGGCCGCACCAAUUUGCAGUCCCACCAGCAAUGUACAAGUGUACCCUUUUCCCCACAUCCUCGCCAGCACUUGUUGUUGUUUGACUUCCUAAUGGCUGCCAAUCUUACUGGAGUGAGAUGGUAUCUUAGGGUGGUUUUGAUUUGCAUUUCUCUCACUGCUAGAGAUGGUGAGCAUUUUUUCAUGUACUUGUUGAUUGAUUGUAUGUCCUCCUCUGAGAAGUGUCUGUUCAGGUCCUUGGCCCAUUUGUUAUUUGUUUUCUUAUUGUUUAAUUUUUUGAGUUCUUUGUAUACUCUGGUAUAGCGAUACCAGAUUUCAAACUAUACUACAGAGCAAUAGUAACAAAAACAGCAUGGUACUGGUACCAAAACAGGUGGGUGGACCAAUGGUACAGAAUAGAGGACACAGAAACCAAUCCACAAAAUUACAACUAUCUUAUAUUUGAUAAAGGGGCUAAAAGCAUGCAAUGGAGGAAAGAUAGCAUCUUCAACAAAUGGUGCUGGAAAAACUGGAAAUCCAUAUGCAACAAAAUGAAACUGAAUCCCUUUCUCUCGCCAUGCACAAAAGUUAACUCAAAAUGGAUCAAGGAGCUUGAUAUCAAAUUAGAGACAGGGCGUCUGAUAGAAGAAAAAGUCAGCUAUGAUCUACAUACUGUGGGGUCGGGCUCCAAAUUCCUCAAUAGGACACCCAUAGCACAAGAGUUAAUAACUAGAAUCAACAAAUGGGACUUACUCAAACUAAAAAGUUUUUUCUCAGCAAAAGAAACAAUAAGAGAGGUAAAUAGGGAGCCUACAUCCUGGGAACAAAUCUUUACUCCUCACACUUCAGAUAGAGCCCUAAUAUCCAUUCCAAGUUUUCUAAGGAAUCUUCACACUGCUUUCCAGAUUGGUUGCACCAAUUUGCAGUCCCACCAGCAAUGUAUGAGUGUGCCUUUUUCCCCCACAUCCUCGUCAACACUUAUUGUUUGUAUUCUUGAUAACUGCCAUUCUGACUGGUGUGAAAGUAUUAAAAGAGAAAAAACUUAUGGCAUUUGCAAGUAAAUGAAUGGAGUUGGAGAAUAUCAUACUAACAAAGUAAGCCAAUCCCCCAAAACCAAAAGCCCAAUGUUCUCUGUGAUAAGUGGAUGCUGAUCCAUAAUGGGGGAGAGGAGCAUAGGAAAAAAUGGAGGAACUUUGAUUGGGUAAAGGGUAGGGAGGAGUGAGAAGGGGGUUUGGGAGCAGGAAAGAUGGUGGAAUGAGAUGGACAUCAUUACCCUAGGUACAUGUAUGACUGCAUACAUGGUGUGAUGUUACAUCGUGUACAACCAGAUAAAUGAAAAGUUGUGCUGCGAUUCUGUACAUUGAAUCAAGAUGCAUUCUGCUGCCAUAUAUACUUAAUUAAAAUAAGUUAAUUAAUUAAUAGUAAAAAAUAAAUAAAAACAAAAAAAAAGGAAAGCAUUUCACUAAGUAUCUCUGAUGUUAGCGGUUGGUUGUUUGACUUACUUGGGAGCAGAUGUGGCAAUAAAGUUUUCCUUAAUAUCUUUUUGCCCUGUUUGAAUUUCAUGCUAAGCACAUAUACUGCCAAUUUAUUUUUUUAAUACAAACAUUAAAAAGAAUUAUUGUCAGAUUAAUGGAAUCAGGCCAAAAAUUGAACUACACCACAAACCCCAAUUCAGAGUAGAACUUGGGCUUGGACUCGAUUAGUAGGAGGGUUUCCAAGUUUUGUGCAGAAUCAAACAUCACCCACUGCAAGGCAUGCAUGAGAUGAACAUGCCAUUGCAGUCUUCCCUGGGUAUGGUUAGAUCCUGCAGUGUGUCUUAUACUUUACCCUCUAGGAAAAAUGAAAACUAUCUAAUAUAUUUUUUUUCUAAUUGAGGGGGAUACAUGGAUCUGAGAAAACAUUGUAAUGCAAAUUGACUAGGACAGAAGAAGUUUUGAAAAAUUAUUAUAACCUCUUGGCAUAAAAGAAUAGUGAGUGUGGAGGUUGUCCCAGAUGAAUAAACAUGGGAGACCUAGAGAAAUACUUGGAGAAAGAAAAUGUCUGAAAAAGAUGAGGCUGAGCAUUGGUUCAUUCUCAUGUAAAGUCUCUCGGUCCAGAAAAUACAGAAUUUAGCAACUAUAUGUAAAAUCCACCACUGAACAAUUACCUGGGAGACUGUAAAAAGCAUGCUGGUGGUGACUGUGGUUCCCCAAUUCAUAAUAAUGAAUGAAGAACCAAAGGUCAUUUAUUGAUUGAGAUGGCUCUGAUUGUCUACUACUGUGCAAUUCCCAGAAGGCACAAUAGUAGGUAGCUGAGUCUUCUUUCUCUACAUUGUGAAUGGUGAGGGUAGACGUAGAUGUCUCAGGUAUCUUGUCCACCUCAAAUUUGCCCACUGUAAUGCCUGGUUCCAGGUUGACAGUGUCAUCAGCUGAAAUGAACAGUAGGUGCUUCAGGGGAUGGCCAGGUUUUUCCUGAUACCAGUAUAUGGACAUGGCAUAAAUAGUUACUCCAGACAAGAUACACUCCAGGCGCGCUGUUUUGGAGAGGGUUUUAGUAAUGGAAGGAUGAGGUUGCUCCAGGUGACGUGCACCAUACACAUACACUGAAAAGAAAGAAGUUGCAGUAAAUAAAACAAACUCUUGGGAUUUUAUAAAAAAUACAAAAUUAGAGAACAUCAGUCAAAAGUAAGUAAACAAAACUUACAAACUCCAAGGAUGGCCAGAGCCACUGCUGGCUUCAGUGACAGCAUGACUGAAGACUGUGCUCUCCUCUGGGGCAGCCAGUUUUCACUGAGAAGAGGCUCAGACUCCUGUGGUUUAGUGGCGAGUCAAGGAGACAAACUCCCCACUGAGCAGGUGAAAUGGGCCUCCCCAUGCAGCUCUCCUGCCUCUUCCUGAAGGGGGUCCCCAACACCUAUUAGCACUUCCACUCUGUGACGAUAGGAAUUCAAGGUCCACACCUUAUGUCAGAUCAUGGAGCACAGAUGGCAUCUCUGAACGGUGAGACGACCCACUUACACAGUUGGUAUUCAUGCAGCUCCCACUGUGGGCAAGGGAUGGGGUUUAGGAAAAGAGAUUCAGUGGUAUGACCUCUGACCACAGAGCUGACUAACAGAGAGAUGGCAUGAGUCACAGCCAUGGGCAAGGAUGUGUUCUUUUUCUCUUUCAUUUUUUUUUUGGUGGGGGAGGGGAUUGAACUCAGGGGCACUCAACCACUGAGCCACAUCUGCAGCCCUGUUUGUAUUUUAUUCAGAGACAGGGUCUCACUGAGUGCUUAGCACCUCGCCAUUGCUGAGGCUGGCUUUGAACUUUCAAUCCUCCUGUCUCAGCCUUCUGAGCCACUGGGAUUACAGGCGUGCACCAUCGUGCCCAGCUUUUUCUUUCUUUUAAUGGACUCAGUAUCUUUCACAAAGUAGAUCUUCAAUAACCCCACCUGUCAGGCCAUGGUGGCGGGUGGUCAGGCUGUGCUGUGUAUCAUUUGCCCACAAAGAGUGUAUCUUCACUCAGCUGGAGACUCUGGAUCAUCAGUCCACUGACCCCUGUUCAGCUACUCCCAUAUCCUACAGUUUAGGGUCACCUCACUCCACAGAUCUUCAUAUUCCAUUCCUGGUGACUGACUUUUGUUGAAGUGUGAAGUUCAUGUCCUCUCCCAGCUACUGAGCUAUACAUCUCUACUAAACCCUAGCUUCCCCUAGAGGGGGGAAGCCAUAUUCCCUCUUUAUGGAUUACUGAGCUUGCUUUCUCUGUGUCACUUCCCAACCCAACAUAUUUCGUGAGUGCUGGAGUAUUUAUACAAAAUGCUUAAAGGGGGUGGUUGUGUAGAUUUCUGUUCUUACUUUAUCUACUCUGCCUGAGUGGUUGCUCCCCAUUGGUGGCUUUAAUUAUCCUAGAGGGGAGGAGAGAAGGAAUGAUGGGGACAUUACUCCUCCAUUGCCAGCCCACUCUUGUUUCCUGGGCUCCAUGUGCACAUCUCCAGCUCAGACAGCUACAGGUUUGUUUACACAGGACCUCAAAGUGAAAGUUAACAAAGACAGAGUGAACUCUUCCUCUAAUGAAAAACAUUUCCCUAAAUAAGGGAACACCGUUGUCCAAGCCAGGGUCCUGAGUGUAAGCCUGAAUUCUCUCCUCUAACUAAUUUUUUACACUUCAAUUGCUGUGGAUUCUUCUACUCAAACAUUUCCUGGCUCACCCUGCAUCCAACGCUUCUUUGCCUUGCCACCAACAUGGUCCCUCCGUCCCGAUUUCUCCAUCACCUGGGGACUGAACUGACCUAGUCACUUCCCUGCUUAGGAUUCUCCAUCUUGCUCUACUCUGCUUCUGAGGAUCAAGUCAGAGCUGUUAGGACCUGAGGUCCCUAUGUGGUAACCACCUGUUCCCUUCCCUCUGUCUUCAGCCACUCUCUCCCCAGAAUCACAUGAUCCAAAUCUAUAGAUUGAUUGGCAGUUUUCCUCUCUGGACCACUGUAUAUCCCACACUUCUUGCUGAACUCCUCUUCAUGUUUGGGCUCAACUUAACACUGAAUCCUCCAGGAAGCUUCUCACCUAGGAGGAAGUCAGGGGUGAAUGUGCCUCCAAUUGCUUUCUAGUGGCGCCACCUCGUGUCUCCCUCUCUCAUAGCCAUUCCUGCCUAAAUCUUGGCCUGCUUAUUCAUUGUUCUCUCAGACUCAUCAGGCAAUCACUAGCAGAGGAGUGAGACCAUAUCUUGUAUUUCUUAUAUUCCCAGGUGUUUGUAGAAUAGGAGAAAGAAUGAAAUAAUGAGUGGAAGAGUGAACAUUGAAGUAUUUCUCCUCUUGCUGAUAUCAGUGAAAGAUCACCAUUUAAAGUAUAAUUUGUAAAGAAGAGUUACCAAGUACUUAAAGCCUUUAAAGUACUUUGUAGCCACUAUCAUAUUGAACUCCAAAAUUUUAAUGUAAUUCCAUGGGGCCUGAUGGGAAUCAAAUAUAGAAAAGGCUCAAGGUUUAAUACCUUGUCCCUGACAGAUUUGAGAUUGGUUCUAUCUAGCUACAAAGCCUGUGCCAUUUGAAUUCCUCCCUCUCCUUUUUCUCAUUUAUCUAGUGAGAAUAAAAUCAGGACCCACUUUAUUAGAUAUUUUUGAAACAUAAAUAAGUUAGCCCAGGUAGAGGGUUUGCAGCAGUGCCUAACACACAGUGAGCCCUCAGAAACUGGUUCCUGGCAGACUCUGCCAUGCUGCCUUCAAUGAACAUGCCCAGGUGAGCAUCAGAAGCACACCAGUCCUGCUCCUGUCACACUGACUCCCUCCCGUAGAGACAGGCCAGCAUCAAGGCUCCCAGAAUCAAGUGACAGUGAGAGUGAAAGAAUUUGGGACCACUCCUUAGAAAUAAAAUUUUGAAACGUUGUCAUGAUUAUCCUAAAGGUGAGAAUCUUGUUCGGUAAGGAAGUGAGUGAGGAGUUUGUCCCUCCUAAUGUCUAGGUGCCCCAUCACAGCCAAUUCUCAGGAUUCACUCCUAUCUGGAGCCAGGUUCUGGGAGAGGUGCAGGGCCUAUCCUCCUGUGCCCAUCCACUUUCAUCAGCACAAAGGAGAACAAGAAAUGAAGAGAAAAAGCUGAGAACAAAAGGAAAGUAGGACUUGACCCCCCUUUACCCAUCCCCUCUCCCACCUGGACUUGGGGGUUCACUAGAGGGGACUAAUAUGUGGCCUUUGCAGAAGCCAGGCAUAUUUUUAACUAUAAAUCUCCAGCCACAAACAUCUGAAGUUGAGAGAGAAACUAUGAAUUAAGGAAUCUGAGGAAUCAGUUUCUCUCAGAAUCAUUUGAACUUUCCAAACAUUAAUGUUUUUAUGUUAUUGAUUUAAUGAGGAAGUCAUAUAUACAUGUUGACUCUUCCAUUGAAAGAAGAGUCAACAUGUAUAUAUUCAGCUUAGAAUUUAAAGAGCCUUUUGCUAUUUUUCUUCCACACAUAGAGCAGCAUAGGGAUUUUCUAUUUGGUGCUGGAUCAUUGGAACACAGGUUUUCUUCCUUUUAUUCAUUUAUUUUUCUUUUAUGGAACUUGGCUUCUUUAUAGGAAGAUAGUGGACAUAGUGAUAUCUUAUUGAAAUGACUUGGAUUUAAUGCAGAAAUUAUAUUCACAUUUAGUCAAACUCCUAUAUAUUUCAAAUGAGUAAACAAAAAUCAGAGAAGCUGGGGUGCUUCCACAUCCCACAUUUGAGUGAUGUUCAAGGACAGGGAGCAAUGAAAGGGUCCAAGGUCUCUUCCAGGGUUUAUCUCAUCCCCCACAUGAUGACCAUCUUGUAACAUCAGUUCUGGUGCAAGCUCUGGAUGAGGGUGCUGAACAUGGGUAAUGUUGUUUUCCAAACUUCCAAUUAUUGGCUCUACUGCCACAUAAGAUCAGUCAGUGGGUACAAAAUGAGGAAGCUGGAGAGGUGCAGAUAAUUUCAGAUUCUGAAAUUAUCAGUUUCUAAUAAUUGGACUCUAUCUGAUAGAAAUUGAUGGGAAUUAGUAAGUUCAGCCACAAAAGUAAAAUUGUUAUGGGGUUUAUUGAAAAAGUUAAAGGAAACAGGUAAAGCUAGAUAUAGGGCUAUUGUCAUUAAGUCCAAGAUAUCCUAAAUAUAAUCAUUUUAACAUUCAAGAAGCUAAAAAGUUAUUGAUGAGUUAUUUUACUUUCUCCCAGUAUCCCAUCAAUAUACAGUGUUUAUUUUAGAACUAGUGUCCAUUCCAACUUGGAUUAUUGCAGUACCUACUUUCAAAUACUCAAUAACUUCAUCAAGCCAGGGACACCUGGAUUGAUCAGCACUUUAGCCCGCAACCAGCACCGGCUUCAUGAAUGAAGGUUUGAAACCUGAGAAAUCUCUAGGGAGUUUUGAAUUAAAGAGACAGACUCUAAUUACCUUUAAACCAGCUCCAGGAUCGCUCCUCCUAGCUCCAGCCUCCAGCCACCUAUUAUUGUAGCAAGGUUUACUGAAGAGGCUAGUGAGAGAGAGAGAACAUGCCAGGGAGUAGACUUUUAUUGGGGAACAAAAAAUUCUGGGGAAAAUCCCAUCCAAUGAAGAUUAAGGAGGGGCAGCAUCCCAAGGUCAGGGGCGACAAUUGGGUCUUUGGGGUAGUGGCCAGACACGCCUCCACAUGGACAAGCCAUAGGACCUGAGAAGGGUGGGGAAAGCUCUGGACACAUGAUGUUCCUAAGUGCCUCUCACCCAGCCAGGGAGGAAACUCAAAUCACAUGAGAGGAUGCCUCCCACACAGCACAGCUUCUCUUUCCAGUACAGUAGAAAUGCUGAACGAAGAACCUUUGAAAGGCCCCUUUUGACUGAAUUGUUUCUCAAGUCUGCAUCAGGCUAAGAGCUCACUUCUCUUUAGUCAUAUCAUUUUACCUGAAUUGAAAGAACAAAGAGGGACAUCUCAGAAAACCCAGGAGGUAAACAGAGGACAAAUUUUGUUUUUACUUGCAUGAGACAGGGAAACCCAAGAGACCAAGAGUCAGUGAACAUGGCCAGGCAGGAUCAGGGAGUAAGAGACCUUUUUGUGCAGGAUCUUGCUUAGCACACAGGGCUGUGCUGGUCCCAGGCUGCACAAUAGUACAUGCCCUCCUCACUCUUCCCCAGGUUCAGCACCAAAAGGGAACAGCUAUUGCCAUUGUUGUUGUUCAAGCCUGUGAUUUUAUCUGCUUUCAGAAUUGAAUCCCAAUGCACAUCCUUCCUGGACACACCCAUCCUGAGAAGGUUCUGGGGGGCUUGGCCCUCCUGCUGCCCGUACCAGUGGAUGUAGCUGACCCUCAUGUGGACCAAGCACUGCAGAAAGACAGAGCUUCCCUUGUGUCCCAGGACCUAGGCUGGCUGCUCCAGUUGGAUGAAUGAAUGACCAGCUGCAAGGGAGAGAGCAGUGAGGUAGGGGCAGACCGAGUCAGGCAGUCUCUGAAAACUUCACCACGAAAGAAGGUGGGGGACUUACCUGGAAACAGGAGAGCCCACAGGAGGGUGAGAUAGCCCAGCAUGGCUCUAUGUUGUGACUAGGGUGACAGUGGCCAGGGUGAAUGCUUGUGUCAAACUGCUGCCAAGAGCCACAGCUUGGUGGUGAUGGUGGUGGUAGGGAGCAGGGUAGGGCGGGAAGCAGCAGCUCAGGCCCUAAUUGGUAAUUGGCGAGAGAAAUGGGGAAGAGGGGAAGACAGAGGACAGACAGAAAACUAACCACAAGGUGAAGGGAGGAAGGCUGAGUGGUUGGAUUUCUGAGAAACACUUAGAGAACAUUGGCAGAAUAAUAAAAACAACAACACAACGGGGAUUGCUGGGGACACCUGCAUUCUAGCACCUUAAGUAUUGAUUUAUGGCCAUUGUUUAUUAAAUCAUGAAAAUAAUCCAGUGUUACCCAAAUUAUUACUUUCAGAUUAGAAGUGUAGAAAGUGAGGCUGUUAUUUUUAGGAACUUGUCAAAAGCUGGACACCUGAGGGAAUGAGGAUGGAACAUGAAGAUAGGUCUGGCUGGAGACCAAGUAGACACUUUACCCUCAUAGAACCAUGAGUGUGCUGCUUACUUUGGAGGAAGAGACAAACACUGAAAGGCAAACUCUGCCAAAUACACAUGCUUCCCUUCAGUGUUGUCACUGGAGCUUGUCACCCAGAGGUCCUGUGGAAGAAUUUCAGUCCCUUAAAGAGCACAACAGCUCUGUUGUUUCUCUUCCUUUUCUUCCUCCAUGGUGAGGGACAUCAUGGGUUGCCAGAGGACUGACUAAAAGGGAUCAUGUGAGCAAUGCAUUUGCCACAGUCUCAGAUGCAUAGAAAAUAUGCAAGGAUAUGAGGUAUUAUUAGUCCGCCUCACCCUGGAUGGAGUUCAGUAGUUGUUCUCCGUUCUCUGGAGACUUGGUGUGAAAUAGAAAUGAUGGUUUUAGAGGUGUGUGUGUGUGUGUGUGUGUGUGUGUGUGUGUGUGUGAGCGCACGCGCGCACACGUGCAUGUGCAUAUGAGAAGGAAGAAGCCUACAUUGGACCAAGGACCAGAACCUAGAGGCAGGCCCAGGUCACUCCAGGAUCAUGAGAUUCCUAGAUGUUGGGAAGAACAUCGAAGGGGUCACACAUCUGCAUUGAAGCUUGGAGAAACAGACCUGGCUUUGACUCCAGGGGAAAUGGAAGUCUAUUUUCAGUUACGCUAAUUACACCUAAGGAUCUUCUAAGUAGUCAGGCAGAUGGCCAUGAGGGAAGGCGGUGGGCAUGGCAGGAAAGGGGGCUUGGCCCUAAGGGAAGUUAUGGGUCUUUGAGGUUCCACGCCAGAUCCGGCUCCUGAGCUCCUCUUCUGUGGUAGAGCCAGGCUUGCUCAGUGCAACCAAAGUUUCCAGUGUCCCCAGAACCAGGCUUCAGGUUGUACGGAGUUGGUGACCUGCUCGUCAAACAUAAAGGAAAUAGAAAAUUUUGAAGAAUGAUAUUUUGGUACCCCCAUAUAUACCCUCUCUCGACAUCUAGUACUGCUAUAGUUAAGAGUUAGGAAGUGACAGCUAUGCCAUCUCCACAUGAAAAACAGUUAGAAAGAGUCACAGUGGAGACCAUGAGCAAUGUGGUGGUGGGAAAAUGGCCAAAUCACUUGCUUUCUAUUUUUAUUUUUUUUCCAGCUUUUCAACAGCAAGAUGACAUUAUUGGGGGGUUGUGUUUGUAACCACUAUUUUAUGAAAAUAAAUUUUAUUUUGUGUUGUCAACACUCAAAAUUUUGUCUCUCAGUUGUUAUUGUGACCGUUUUAAUCAGCUACUGCUCAUUAAAACUUGAAAAUCAUUUGCAAUUGACAAAAAUAAAUUUUAAUAAAAUCACCCAUAAAUCUGCAGCCCC